rnacentral:rRNA from 1 species
CAACAGCUAGAGUUUGAUCCGUGGCUCAGGACGAACGCUGGCGGCGUGCCUAACACAUGCAAGUCGAACGGGAUCCUCAUGAAGGAGUUUUCGGACAACAGAUUGGGGCAUCUAGUGGCGGACGGGUGAGUAACGCGUGAGCAACCUGCCCUUCGGAGGGGGACAACAGUUGGAAACGACUGCUAAUACCGCAUAACAUAUACCGGUGGCAUCAUUGGUAUAUCAAAGAUUAUAUCGCCGAGGGAUGGGCUCGCGUCUGAUUAGCUGGUUGGUGAGGUAACGGCUCACCAAGGCUGCGAUCAGUAGCCGGACUGAGAGGUUGAACGGCCACAUUGGGACUGAGAUACGGCCCAGACUCCUACGGGAGGCAGCAGUGGGGAAUAUUGGGCAAUGGGGGCAACCCUGACCCAGCAACGCCGCGUGAAGGAAGAAGGCUUUCGGGUUGUAAACUUCUUUGACGAGGGACGAAGAAAGUGACGGUACCUCGAAAACAAGCCACGGCUAACUACGUGCC